rnacentral:rRNA from 1 species
GACGAACGCUGGCGGCGUGCUUAACACAUGCCAGUCGAACGGAAAGGCCCUGCUUUUGUGGGGUGCUCGAGUGGCGAACGGGUGAGUAACACGUGAGUAACCUGCCCUUGACUUUGGGAUAACUUCAGGAAACUGGGGCUAAUAACGGAUAGGAGCUCCUGCUGCAUGGUGGGGGUUGGAAAGUUUCGGCGGGUGGGGAUGGACUCGCGGCUUAUCAGCUUGUUGGUGGGGUAGUGGCUUACCAAGGCUUUGACGGGUAGCCGGCCUGAGAGGGUGACCGGCCACAUUGGGACUGAGAUACGGCCCAGACUCCUACGGGAGGCAGCAGUGGGGAAUAUUGCACAAUGGGCGGAAGCCUGAUGCAGCAACGCCGCGUGCGGGAUGACGGCCUUCGGGUUGUAAACCGCUUUCGCCUGUGACGAAGCGUGAGUGACGGUAAUGGGUAAAGAAGCACCGGCUAACUACGUG